rnacentral:rRNA from 1 species
AACGAACGCUGGCGGCAUGCCUAACACAUGCCAGUCGAACGAGACCUUCGGGUCUAGUGGCGCACGGGUGCGUAACGCGUGGGAACCUGCCCUUAGGUUCGGAAUAACUCCCCGAAAGGGGUGCUAAUACCGGAUAAUGUCUUCGGACCAAAGAUUUAUCGCCUUUGGAUGGGCCCGCGUUGGAUUAGCUAGUUGGUAGGGUAAAAGCCUACCAAGGCGACGAUCCAUAGCUGGUCUGAGAGGAUGAUCAGCCACACUGGGACUGAGACACGGCCCAGACUCCGCCGGGAGGCAGCAGUAGGGAAUAUUAGACAAUGGGCGAAAGCCUGAUCCAGCAAUGCCGCGUGAGUGAUGAAGGCCUUAGGGUUGUAAAGCUCUUUUACCCGGGAUGAUAAUGACAGUACCGGGAGAAUAAGCUCCGGCUAACUCCGUG